rnacentral:rRNA from 1 species
AAGCGACCAAGCGUACACGGUGGAUGCCCUGGCAGUCAGAGGCGAUGAAGGACGUGCUAAUCUGCGAAAAGCGCCGGUAAGGUGAUAUGAACCGUUAUAACCGGCGAUGUCCGAAUGGGGAAACCCAGUGUGACUCGUCACACUAUCAUUAACUGAAUCCAUAGGUUAAUGAGGCGAACCGGGGGAACUGAAACAUCUAAGUACCCCGAGGAAAAGAAAUCAACCGAGAUUCCCCCAGUAGCGGCGAGCGAACGGGGAGGAGCCCAGAGCCUGAAUCAGCAUGUGUGUUAGUGGAAGCGUC